rnacentral:rRNA from 1 species
UACGGAGGGUGCAAGCGUUAAUCGGAAUUACUGGGCGUAAAGCGUGCGUAGGCGGUUCGUUAAGUCUGUUGUGAAAGCCCCGGGCUCAACCUGGGAAUGGCAAUGGAUACUGGCGAGCUAGAGUGUGUCAGAGGAUGGUGGAAGUUCCCGGUGUAGCGGUCGAAAUGCGUAGAGAUCGGGAGGAACACCAGUGGCGGAAGG